AGAGCUCAAUGUGUGAAUCUGAUCGGGAGUAACGCCUGGUUCGAAUUGUGCACUAUUGACGCUGGAUCAGCGCAUGGUAGCUUGCGGCGGAUGUCCGAUGAAACACGGCACCAUAGCGGGUCACAGUCCCGUACACGCCCAUCGAGCGCCCGCGCCUAUGACCAGUGUUCUUCGAGUCGCGUAGUUUUGUAUUGCUGCGCUAAUCGGGAGGUAGAGCCCUUCUAAAGCUAAAUAUUAUGGCGUGACCGAUAGCAAA
rnacentral:rRNA from 1 species